rnacentral:lncRNA from 1 species
AAUUUGUUUUAAAAUUGAGCCAAAGCCCAAAUCUCUUUUUUAGGGUUUCAUCAUCCUGCGUAGGCAUCUUUGAAGCUUCCCCGUAGAAGCCGCUCCACCAACAAAUCCAUUCCCACCACUGUCAACAACGUAUCCUUUCCCACCACUGUCAACGGUAACGACAAAUAAAACAUGUUUUUUCAUCUCCUGCUACAAUGCUCCUACUUCCUUGAAUGCUUCUUUCAUUGUUGAAAAAAAAAUGAAACUUUUAGGCAGAGACAAACGUUUAAUGCUCCUAUUUCGUGUCUUACUAUUCUAAAUCAGGUAUUAUCCUCACAGAUCGCAUCUCCUCUACCACUUCUUAUACUUUCAACGAUUAAAACGUCUUUUUCCA